AGAGAUUAUUGUCGUUGAGUUUAGAUAAUCUACGUAAUUCGUAGUUCGUUGCUAUUGCUUACGUUUUCCCUUCUUGUUGGUGAAAGUUUAGAGAUUUCUUUUUAUGGAGAUUAAGAUUUUCUUGCAUUCGAAUCUUAUGCUUGAUUGAGUUUCUUGCCUAGGUAGUUAUUAAUCUUUGAUGUUUACAAGUUUAUGAUCGUUUGGUUU
rnacentral:lncRNA from 1 species